CAGAGGGUGCGAGCGUUAAUCGGGAAUUACUGGGCGUAAAGCGUGCGUAGACGGUUAUUUAAGUCGGAUGUGAAAGCCCCGGGCUCAACCUGGGAAUUGCAUUCGAGACUGAAUGGAUAGGGUACGGUAGAGGGAAGUGGAAUUUCCGGUGUAGCGGUGAAAUGCGUAGAUAUCGGAAGGAACAUCAGUGGCGAAAGCGACUUCCUGGACCAGUACCGACGUUCAGGCACGAAAGCGUGGGGAGCAAACAGGAUUAGAUACCCUGGUAGUCCACGCCAUAAACGAUGAGGACUAGACGUUGGAGGGGUAAGCCUUUCAGUGUCGUAGCUAACGCGCUAAGUCCUCCGCCUGGGGAGUACGGCCGCAAGGUUG
rnacentral:rRNA from 1 species